GACGAACCGUGCGAACGUUAUUCGGAAUCACUGGGCUUAAAGCGCGUGUAGGCGGGACGGCACGUCGGUCGCUGAAAUCCCCCGGCUCAACCGGGGAACGGGCACCGAUACGACCGUCCUGGAGGAACGUAGGGGGACCUGGAACUUCCGGUGGAGCGGUGAAAUGCGUUGAGAUCGGAAGGAACGCCCGUGGCGAAAGCGAGGUCCUGGACGUUUUCUGACGCUGAGACGCGAAAGCCAGGGGAGCGAAUGGG
rnacentral:rRNA from 1 species